GAUGAACGCUAGCGACAGGCUUAACACAUGCAAGUCGAGGGGCAGCAUAGAAGUAGCAAUACUUUGGUGGCGACCGGCGCACGGGUGAGUAACGCGUAUGCAACCUACCUAUCAGAGGGGAAUAACCCGGCGAAAGUCGGACUAAUACCGCAUAAAACAGGGGCACCGCAGGGUGAUAUGUGUUAAAGAAAUUCGCUGAUAGAUGGGCAUGCGUUCCAUUAGGUAGUUGGUGAGGUAACGGCUCACCAAGCCGACGAUGGAUAGGGGAACUGAGAGGUUGGUCCCCCACACUGGUACUGAGACACGGACCAGACCCCUACGGGAGGCAGCAGUGAGGAAUAUUGGUCAAUGGGCGGGAGCCUGAACCAGCCAAGUCGCGUGAAGGAAGAAGGAUCUAUGGUUCGUAAACUUCUUUUGCAGGGGAAUAAAGUGCAGGACGUGUCCUGUUUUGUAUGUACCCUGAGAAUAAGGAUCGGCUAACUCCGUGCCAGCAGCCGCCGUAAAAC
rnacentral:rRNA from 1 species